GGGUCAGUAGGCUGGUCGUGCCACCGGUACGUACUGGUCUCACUGAUUCCUCCUUCCUGAAGAACCGUAAUGCGAUUAAUUUGGUGUUGCGGGGAAACAGGACUGUUACUUUGAAAAAAUUAGAGUGUAUAAAGCAAGCUAACGCUUGAAUACAUUAGCAGGGAAUAAUGAAAUAGGACGAUCGAUCCUAUUUUGUUGGUUUCUAGGAUUGACGUA
rnacentral:rRNA from 1 species